AUGAAGAGUCCAGAGAGAAUGCCAAAGCGACCCUACGAAGGGCGCGUUGGCAAGAAGGUCAAGCGUCGCCGUCGUCACCUUUAUGUUGUCAUGAAGGACGAGGACGGUAGAUGCGGUAUCCACAAAUUUGAUUUAUCUACGAAUCUGUUGGACGAUGGCCACCCAGUUGUGGAGGUUCUACCGCCCGCUCUCAACCAUUUCGAUUCUCCCUCGAGGGGAUUCUUUGUGGCCUUCGGCACCAAGAUCAUGGUAUUCCAUUCAAAAUCGGACAAGAUCGGCCCCCCUUUCUUUGAUGUUAGCACUCACAACAUGGGUCAGGGUCCUCGGACCAGGUCACGUCUUUCUCAACCCAUAUAUCUGCCGGUUUGUGACAAGCUUGUUGCUCUGGAUGGCAACCACUCGGAGCUUCUUUAUCUUCCUCCACUGGAAGGGAAAUGGUUGCGGUGUAAGCUCCCAAACCUUUCCUUCAACCUCCAAGACAUUAUCUCUCACGCUGUGCACCCUGACGGCCGGACCAUCUUUGUCAGCUUCAAGAGUUACUCAUCCACCGCCACAUUUUCCCUUGAUACUGGGUCGGAUCAUGCUAGGUGGAGGUUUCAUGGCAUGUGGGGGCUGCCGUUCACAGGUCGUGCUCACUUUGUCCCAGGGCUCAACGCCUGGGUUGGGCUUUCUGGUGAUCAGGACACGCUUGGCCACCUUUGCUCCUGUGAUGUCGUGUCCACUGAUCCUGAUUCCAGCAACAAGCAUUCCCCACCACCAUGGAAGCUUGGUAAGGAGAAACUGUUCUGCAAGAAAUCAUUCGAGGAACACGUAGGAGCCAACCUUUUGUACCUGGGAGUCGAAACCAAUUUCUGCCUUCUGCAUUAUUUCAGUGUUAAAGAUGAUGAUUGCAUGCCGCAUUUGCUUUGA
rnacentral:rRNA from 1 species